rnacentral:piRNA from 1 species
UCCAAAGAUGGCCAGGCAAGAAGUUGAGU